rnacentral:tRNA from 1 species
UUAUGGGUAAUUCAGUGGUAGAACAUAUGCUUAGCAAGCAGUAGACCCUGAGUUUAAUACCCAGCUCAAAAA